GACGAACGCUGGCGGCGUGCCUAAUACAUGCAAGUCGAACGCUUCUUUCCUCCCGAGUGCUUGCACUCAAUUGGAAAGAGGAGUGGCGGACGGGUGAGUAACACGUGGGUAACCUACCCAUCAGAGGGGGAUAACACUUGGAAACAGGUGCUAAUACCGCAUAACAGUUUAUGCCGCAUGGCAUAAGAGUGAAAGGCGCUUUCGGGUGUCGCUGAUGGAUGGACCCGCGGUGCAUUAGCUAGUUGGUGAGGUAACGGCUCACCAAGGCCACGAUGCAUAGUCGACCUGAGAGGGUGAUCGGCCACACUGGGACUGAGACACGGCCCAGACUCCUACGGGAGGCAGCAGUAGGGAAUCUUCGGCAAUGGACGAAAGUCUGACCGAGCAACGCCGCGUGAGUGAAGAAGGUUUUCGGAUCGUAAAACUCUGUUGUUAGAGAAGAACAAGGACGUUAGUAACUGAACGUCCCCUGACGGUAUCUAACCAGAAAGCCACGGCUAACUACGUG
rnacentral:rRNA from 1 species